rnacentral:lncRNA from 1 species
GGCGUCCGAUGAUUCUUGGUCUGAGUGUGAAAAAAAUGUUAACAUGAAUACUUGGGAUCUUUUCUCCCCCACGAUUAAACAACCCAAGAAAACACUUCCACAAAUAUGUUGUGUCUACUACUGUUCAACCAUUUAAUCUUCACCUCAUUUUCAUUUUUUAUUCUAAUUCUCGUGAUGAAAUUCCUCUUUACCAAUUUACUUUCUCUCUUUCAUUAGAAAACUCAAAAACAAAAAAGAAAAAUGUAAAAGAAGAAAGUGGUUCUUCUGUGUGGUAGUCUCACUUGAUUUCUCCACCAUAUUUCUUCAUGACCACCCCUUUUUCAUGUAAACCAUAAACACUACCUUUUUAUUAUUUUAUUUUUAAUUUAUUUCUUUCCUCAUACUUCAUACACACUCACAUACUAAUCUUCUCUUUUUAGUUUUUAUAAUAUAUUUACUUUUAAUUUUUCUUAGUUAUAAAUAUUUAUAUCUUUCUGUUUUAG